UGACAAGCAAACAUUAUUUCUCUUCCAUUUAUUCUGUUAUAAAGAUAGCUACUUGUAGUCAUGCUUCCUGUCAUGGAGAAGCAAUCAGCUUGAGGACAGGAAACCAUCAUGAAGAAGCAGAGCUCCACUGAAAUUCCAAUACUUGGGUCAAGUGAUCCCUGAGGAAGUGAUCUCAGUGCACAUCAUCCCUCUGUUUCCAGCUGACCUGUAGCCUGUCCCUCCUCACCCAUGAAUUCAUUCCGUCAACAAACCUUUACUGAGUUCUGUGCGUGCUUAGGAGGGAAGCAUUUACAAAGACAGAAAAAGUUCCUGCCAGAGAACAUUCACAGUGCAUUGCCUGUGUCCCAGCCACAUGACAAGGCUCUGGAAGAGAAUGGGUGUCGUUGGAUUUCCAGUUUCUAGAAGCUGCCCCAUGUCUUAGCUCAUGGCUCCUCCCUCCUCCUUCAAAGCCAGCAGUACAAGCGACUUCCAAUCUCAGCAUUGUGUUCCUAACAGCACAAAGGUGAAACAAUCAAAUUUUCAUCAGUGGCUCUCUGCUAUGGCCUGGGAAAGCAGUAGAAGAUGGCCCAAGUGCUUGGGCCCCUGCACUUGCAUGGGACACCUGGAAGAAACUCUUGGAUGCUGACUUCAGAUUGGCCCAGCUUUGGCCUUUGGGGCCAGAUGGGGAGAGAACCAACAGAUAGAAGAUCUUUCUCUGUGUCUCUCCCUCUCUUUGUCUGUAACUCUGUCUCUCAAAUAAAUAAAUCUUAAAAACAAUUUGGCUGACUUGGUAAAGAAAAUGUGGUAUAUACAUACUAUGGAAUACUACUCAAUGAUUUAAAAAAAAUGAAAUCCUGUCUUUUGCAACAAAACAGAUGCAAGUGGAGACCAUUAUGCUUAAAUAAGCCAGAUCCAAAAAGGACAAAAAUCAUCUGUCUUCUCUGAUUUGUGGUAGCUAAUAGAGAGAAUUAAAAAAAUCCUCAAUGUGCAUGAAUGAAAUUGAUACCUUGUGUAUGAAUGAAAUUGACACCUUGUGGUUUGAUCAUUGUUUAGAACCUUUGUCUGUAUUCCUGUGCAACAGUGGCCUUCCUACUUUUCACUUGCAGCACUCUUUGCUUAGAAGGCCAUUGAGAAAAAAAAAAAAAAAAAAGAAGAAGAAGAAGAAGAAGGCCAUUGAUGGGGCCAGCGCUGUGGCACAGUGGGUGAAAGCCCUGGCCUGCGGCGCCGGCAUCCCAUAUGGGCGCCAGUUCUAGUCUCGGCUGCUCCUCUUCCCAUCCAGCUCUCUGCUAUGGCCUGGGAAGGCAGUAGAAGAUGGCCCAAGUCCUUGGGUCCCUGCACCCACGUGGGAGACCCGGAAGAAGCUCCUGGCUCCUGGCUCCUGGCUCCUUGCUUCAGAUCUGCAUGGCUCUAGCCGUUGCGGCCAUCUGGGGAGUGAACCAGCGGAUAGAAGACCUCUCUCUCUGUCUCUACCUCUCUCUGUAACUCUGUCUUUCAAAUAAAUAAA